AACACGACUCUCGGCAAUGGAUAUCUCGGCUCUCGCAUCGAUGAAGAGCGCAGCGAAAUGCGAUAC
rnacentral:rRNA from 2 species